rnacentral:rRNA from 1 species
UACGAAGGGGGCUAGCGUUGUUCGGAUUUACUGGGCGUAAAGCGCACGUAGGCGGAUCAUUAAGUCAGGGGUGAAAUCCUGGAGCUCAACUCCAGAACUGCCUUUGAUACUGGUGAUCUUGAGUCCGGAAGAGGUGAGUGGAACUCCUAGUGUAGAGGUGGAAUUCGUAGAUAUUAGGAAGAACACCAGUGGCGAAGGCGGACUCACUGGUCCGGUACUGACGCUGAGGUGCGAAAAGCGUGGGGAGCAAACAGGGAUUAAGAUACCCCGUAGUCC